rnacentral:tRNA from 1 species
GGGAAUAGCUCAGUGGUAGAGCGCCACCUUGCCAAGGUGGAUGUCGCGGGUUCAAUCCCCGUUUCCC